rnacentral:rRNA from 1 species
UACGAAGGGGGCUAGCGUUGCUCGGGAUCACUGGGCGUAAAGGGUGCGUAGGCGGGUCUUUAAGUCAGGGGUGAAAUCCCGGGGCUCAACCUCGGAACUGCCUUUGAUACUGCAAAUCUCGAGUCCGGAAGAGGUGAGUGGAAUUCCUAGUGUAGAGGUGAAAUUCGUAGAUAUUCGCAAGAACACCAGUGGCGAAGGCGGCUCACUGGCCCGAUACUGACGCUGAGGCACGAAAGCGUGGGGAGCAAACAGG